AACGAACGCUGGCGGCAUGCCUAACACAUGCCAGUCGAACGAGACCUUCGGGUCUAGUGUCGCACGGGUGCGUAACGCGUGGGAACCUGCCCUUAGGUUCGGAAUAACUCCCCGAAAGGGGUGCUAAUACCGGAUAAUGUCUUCGGACCAAAGAUUUAUCGCCUUUGGAUGGUCCCGCGUUGGAUUAGCUAGUUGGUAGGGUAAAAGCCUACCAAGGCGACGAUCCAUAGCUGGUCUGAGAGGAUGAUCAGCCACACUGGGACUGAGACACGGCGCAGACUGCUACGGGAGGCAGCAGUGGGGAAUAUUGGACAAUGGGGGAAAGCAUGAUACAGCAAUGCCGCGUGAGUGAUGAAGGCCUUAGGGUUGUAAAGCUCUUUUACCCGGGAUGAUAAUGACAGUACCGGGAGAAUAAGCUCCGGCUAACUCCGUG
rnacentral:rRNA from 1 species